rnacentral:lncRNA from 1 species
CUGUCGUGAUGAAUUGCAGACAGACAUUCCCAGCCAAUUCUAAUCCUACAAGGCCCUCUUGGCUCCCCUUAUCCUCCAGGGACCUGGAAGUAAAGGAUGAGAAGAGUUAGAAUAAUUUAAAAGGCAGAAUUAUCCACGGACUUGUGCACACAUAUCUUUGAGACUUACAGUCAUCGCUACGUUUGCACAGAUUGGCUGCAGCACUACUUCAUGGUGGACUAAUGUUUUAGGUUGAUUUAUUGGAACAGAUUGGUUCUUCAGUACCAAUUAUGGUCUAAUUCUCAAUUUGAGAAUAAUCCUGCCACCCGUAACUGGCAAUGUAGAAACUCUCAUUGGCUCCCUGGCUGCUUCCUCUUAGGAUCUGCAAGUGAAAAGAAUCAAAUUUUCUGACGGCCAGAAUUUCCACUUUAUGUUUCUUAAUAUCAUUUUUUUUCCCGUUAGACUUCUAUAAAAGAAGUCUGACACAGCCUGGGGCUUGGAUGCUGUGAUUUGUCACACACUAAACAGAAGAGGAGACAGUAAGCGUUUACCACUCCCCUGGGCAAAGUUCUGUAGAUAACCAGCAGAUGCAAUUUGCUUUCAUAGCUUUCUUAAGUGUGGCCUUGAAAAG